UCUAGAGACUAUACCACCCUGCAUGUGUCUGCUCUCACCUGAUCUCAGAAGCUAAGCAAGGUUAGGCCCCGUCUGUGGUGGCAUUGUAU
rnacentral:rRNA from 1 species